CCCAUUGAAAAUAAGUAGGAGGGGGUAUAAUGUUAAAAGCAUCUGCCACGGUCUCAGAAGCAGUCUGUUAUUUUAAAGUUCAGUGUUAACAACUGCAGGAACUAAAUCCUUCUGAACACAUAUUGACAAUAAGCAGGGUUGUUAGUUGUUGUUAUCGAAACGCAAAACAAAUCUAAAUUUUACUUUCUUCGGCUGACGACCUCUGAAAAAGUCGACUGUAGCAAGAAAAUAGCUGAAAUGGCAAAGACUGCCUAUAAACUAAAAAGAAAUAUACCCAGUUGUCGUAUUGUGGAGCUAAGGCACAGUGUAUUGGUUAUGUCGGUCGCGAUCACAUUCAAUUAUUUGCUUACCUUUGCAAGCCGAUAUCAGAAAAUAGCCGCUGUCGCAGAUAUCACUGAAAUCCAAAUGCACCACGGGCCUGGUAUGUCCACUGCAGGUCAAUGGAAUCUGUCGCAAGUUAUUGGCCGCCAUUCUAAAAUCUAAAAUCACCUGCGUUUUGCUCCUCCUUUCUUUACUAAAAAAAAACCAAUACUUUCUCGCUUUGUAUACACUUGUAGCGUAUUAUGCGCCGUUUUGUCUAAU